UACGUAGAGGGCAAGCGUUGUCCGGAAUUAUUGGGCGUAAAGCGUCCGCAGGUGGCACUUCAAGUCUGUCGUCAAAGACUGGGGCUUAACCCUGGAAAGGCGGUGGAAACUGAAGCGCUAGAGUGCGGUAGGGGUAGAGGGAAUUCCCGGUGUAGCGGUGAAAUGCGUAGAGAUCGGGAAGAACAUCGGUGGCGAAAGCGCUCUACUGGACCGCAACUGACACUCAGGGACGAAAGCUAGGGGAGCGAAUGGG
rnacentral:rRNA from 1 species